GAUGAACGCUAGCGGCAGGCCUAAUACAUGCAAGUCGAACGGUAAGGCCCUUUCGGGGGUACACGAGUGGCGGACGGGUGCGUAACGCGUAUGCAACAUGCCUUCCAGCGGGGGAUAUACCAGGGAAACUUGGCGCAAUACCCCAUAGAAUUACGGGACCGCAUGGUCUUGUGAUUAAAACUCCGGUGCUGGGAGAUUGGCAUGCGUGACAUUAGCUAGUUGGCGGGGUAACGGCCCACCAAGGCGACGAUGUCUAGCUGGUCUGAGAGGAUGAUCAGCCACACUGGGACUGAGACACGGCCCAGACUCCUACGGGAGGCAGCAGUAGGGAAUAUUGGACAAUGGGGGGAACCCUGAUCCAGCCAUGCCGCGUGAGGGAAGAAGGUCCUCUGGAUUGUAAAGCUCUGUGGGGGAGAAGAAGAAAGCCGGUGAAGAGCCGGCCCUGACGGUAUCCCUUAGCAAGCACGGCUAACUCCGUGCCAGCAGCCGCGGUAAAGUGU
rnacentral:rRNA from 1 species